ACGCGCAGAACCUUACCCAGACUUGACNUNCCUUCGAACCUGAANUAAUUUUCGGNGGUGCCCUUCGGGGAGCGGAGUGACAGGNGCUGCAUGGCUGUCGUCAGCUCGUGUCGUGAGAUGUUCGGUUAAGUCCGGCAACGAGCGCAACCCUUGUCCCGAGUUGCCACCAGGUAAAGCUGAGCCACUCUCGGGAGACUGCCGAUGCAAAUCGGAGGAAGGUGGGGAUGACGUCAAGUCCUCAUGGCCCUUAUGUCUGGGGCUACACACGUGCUACAAUGGGCGGUACAAAGGGUUGCGAAGCCGUGAGGUGAAGCCAAUCCCAAAAAGCCGUCCUCAGUUCGGAUCGCAGUCUGCAACUCGACUGCGUGAAGUCGGAAUCGCUAGUAAUCGUGGAUCAGCAUGCCACGGUGAAUACGUUCCCGGGCCUUGUACACACCGCCCGUCACACCAUGGGAGUCGUUUGCUCCAGAAGUCGGUGACCCAACCUUU
rnacentral:rRNA from 1 species